CAAACCACCAGAGGAUUCGCAGAAAAACAGCCUUGGGUCAAAUCUAACCAAGAAGAGAAAAAAAGGUGCCAUGCCAUGCUAAGCAAAACAAAACCUGAAAAGCUUAACAAAAUUCCAUGCCACAGUGCAGAGCGAUAAUAAAACAUAAUGCAAAACAACAUGGGCAACAGCACAGGCAACAUCAACAAUAACAACAACAACAACAACAACAACAACAACACCGACAUUAACAACAUGAAAUGUUGUUGAAAAACAAAGACCUUUAACGCCAAAACUCAACUCACGUAGAAUUGAAUGCAAAACACUUGGCUGAGAUUAAACAAAAUCUACCGCUUUCUGGUUGGUCACUGCUGUCAUGCCUCCAAAGGCCUCCAAUGCCUUGGCAUGGGAACUCUUUUUGCAAAUGCUGGCUGCCUGAUGCAGACUAAAUGGGCUAUGAUCCGACCGCAUGAGCAUUGUUGUUUAUCGCUGCAAGCCUGGAAUCGAUAUCACAGGUCAAAGGGGUUGAUUUAUUAGGCCCGUGAAUAAAUCGACGAAUGCUCUGGCUGAGACUGACAGACAGACAGAUGGAUAUAUGACCAUUUAGACAGCUACACGCACUUGCCACAAAUGGAAUGGCUUAGUGGUGGCCACAAAUGCUUGCUCGUGAGGAAUUUAAGAAUGCAUUUGGGCUACUAAUUUAGUUAACUGCCAGCAGCCGUUUUUAGAUGGAAAACAAAGGCGUUUCGUUUUGUUCAGUGGCAGCAGUUAUGGCAAUUGCCUAAUUUUGAUUUUUAUUUGGCUACAACUCCAUCGUUCACAACUGCAGACCGUAUAAAGUCAAACGGCUUAAAAUGGGGGUAUAUGCGUCAAUCUGUUGCAAACACUUGGAGAUAUUGAUUGGUCAGCUGGUGCAAGGAGAAGGGGCAUGACCUUGUGCUAGGGGGCGACGCCAAUGCCCACCACAGUCUCUGGGGAAACACGGAUACCAAUGAAAGAGGUGGAGGAGGAGUUCCCAAAACAAUGGUGGAAUUAUAAAAAAAUUUUCAAAUCCAUGUAAUUCAUGGUGUUUGUUGGCUCUAUCUACUCCCACUAUCACUUCAAAUUGAAAUUUAAGAUAAUUUAGUUAUAAAUUUUGUUAUGCAUACAAAUUUGCCUUAGUUUUGUU
rnacentral:sRNA from 1 species